rnacentral:rRNA from 1 species
CAAGUAGACUACUUGGUUGAUAGGCUGGAGGUGUAAGUGUAGCAAUACAUUCAGCUGACCAGUACUAAUAAAUCGUGUGACUUAUCUUU